rnacentral:rRNA from 1 species
AUUGAACGCUGGCGGCAGGCCUAACACAUGCAAGUCGAGCGAGCGGCGGACGGGUGAGUAAUGUCUGGGAAACUGCCUGAUGGAGGGGGAUAACUACUGGAAACGGUAGCUAAUACCGCAUACCAUCAGAUGUGCCCAGAUGGGAUUAGCUAGUAGGUGGGGUAACGGCUCACCUAGGCGACGAGCCCUAGCUGGUCUGAGAGGAUGAACAGCCACACGGGAACUGAGACACGGGCCAGACUCCUACGGGGGGAAGCAUGGGGGAAGAGUGCACAAUGGGCACAAGCCUGAUGCAGCCAUGCCGCGGGUGGGAAGAAGGCCUUCGGGUUGUAAAGCACUUUCAGCGGGGAGGCGUUACCCGCAGAAGAAGCACCGGCUAACUCCGUGCCAGCAGCCGCGGUAAUAC